rnacentral:rRNA from 1 species
GCGCACCAGUCGCGAAACUUUACAAUGUGCGAAAGCACGAUAAGGGAACUCUGAGUGCCUCCUAAGGAGGCUGUUCUGAUGGCUAAAAGCAACAGAAGUAAGGGCUGGGUAAGACCGGUGCCAGCCGCCGCGGUAACACCGGCAGCCCAAGUGGUAGCCACGUUUAUUGGGUCUAAAGCGUUCGGAGCCGGCCAGGUAAGUUCCUUGGUAAAUUUAGCCGCUUAACGGUUAAGCUUUCAGGGAAUACUGCUUGGCUUGGGACUGGGAGAGGUCAGAGGUACUCCGGGGGUAGGGUGAAAUCUAUUAAUCCCUGGGGGACCACCGGUAGCGAAGGCGUCUGACCAGACCCAGGUCCGACGGUGAGGGACGAAGGCUAGGGGCGCGAACCGGAUUA